rnacentral:rRNA from 1 species
UACGUAGGGGGCAAGCGUUGUCCGGAAUUAUUGGGCGUAAAGAGCUCGUAGGCGGUUUGUUGCGUCGGCUGUGAAAUCCCGAGGCUCAACCUCGGGUCUGCAGUCGAUACGAGCAAACUAGAGUGUUGCAGGGGAGACUGGAAUUCCUGGUGUAGCGGUGAAAUGCGCAGAUAUCAGGAGGAACACCGGUGGGCGAAAGGCGGGGUCUC